rnacentral:rRNA from 1 species
GACGAACGCUGGCGGCGUGCUUAACACAUGCAAGUCGAGCGGAGCGGCGAACGGGUGCGUAACGCGUGAGUAACUGUCCUCUUUUCUGGGAUAACAGUUGGAAACGGCUGCUAAUACCGGAUAGUGGGGGAUGACUCGCGUCCUAUCAGCUUGUUGGUGGGGUAGUGGCCUACCAAGGCGACGACGGGUAGCCGGCCUGAGAGGGCGACCGGCCACAUUGUGCUGCGAUACGGCCCAAACUCCUACGGGAGGCAGCGGGGGCGACUAUUGCCCAAUGGUGGAAACUCUGUUGCUGCAUCGCCGCGUGCGGUAUGACCACCCUCCGGUGGUAAACCGCGUUCAGCCAGGACGCGGUAGUGGCAGAAGAAGCACUGGCUAACUACGUGCCAGCAGCCGCGGUAAUAC